AAAAAUUAUAUAAAUACUGUUCGGCUUCUCGCACAAACCGAUCGUUUCGUUUCUUAGGAUAUCAAUGUGUCGUCACGAGCGGCAGGGUUUAAUUUGGAUUUGUCUGUGCAUGUUUUUACUGUCUGAGAUUUUGUUACUAUUCACAUGCAUACAGACUGAAACGGUUGGAGUUUCUACAUUUGUGUUGUACUGAAGAAACAAAAUCACAUACAUCUUGGAUGGCCUCGGGGUAAGCUGAUAAAUACAAAAAAUUCAUUUUAAGAUGAAUCCCGUACGUUGGCGGCUGUUUUAAACUGGGUGCUCGGCUCCGACCCUUUUGCCAGUAUGAAGCCGAUUUCAACGGUAACUGCAGAAAGCGUCAGCACGCUCAGCUCAUCACUGGAGUAACGUCUGUACAACGGGUGAGAUAAAACUCAACGCCUGACUGAAUCAUCCAUUCCCUUUUCGAUCCUACGCCAUACGUUAAACUUGAGGUAAUCUUGCUUUUGCUGUUCUAAAAUAAACACUGCUCUUAGCACACCACCCAUACAUGGCACACAAAACAGGUCUUGUGAGGGGGCUGUGCCCACAGGUAGAAAUUCUGUGGGUCCACGGGCUUCUCCCCUUUCAGCGAACAUCACAGCGCUUAGUUCACCAUCGUGGUCUCCAAUCUCCAUUACCAACAGCCUGAGUGCUACACCUAAAGACACCCCAACCCAUGCAGCAGCUGGCAGAAGUCAGACAUCAGGCCAAACUGGAUUUCAACACACCCCACCCUUACAUGGCACACAAGUAUAUGACACACAACACAGGUCUUCUCAGGAGGCUGUGCCUACAGCAAUAGGCUUUAUGCCCAGCUGCACUACUUCCUGAACUUCAGCCAGCUCCUUGUUUCCUGUCUGCCAUUAUUGGACAAACUGAUUAAUCCAGGUGUGCCUGAGCUUAGUAGUCACAACAACAAUAAUCAGACACACCUGGAUUUAUCAGUUUGUCCAGUAAUGGCAGACAGGAAACAAGGAGCUUAAAGCCUAUUGCUAAGGAGAUCCUCAUCCAGCUCGAUUUUAUUUGAGAGCAGCAGUUGCAGACUUCACCCCAGACCCAACACAUUUUGGGCUCCCACUUUCAACUAUUGAGGAGCUACAAUGUUUGUAGGAGACAUUAAAUAAUCCAGAUGAGAAGAAGAAUUUGGUGAGACUGUGUUUCCUGCAAUGGUCGGAGACAAGACUCUUAAAGACACCGUGGGGUGGGUCCUGAAAAAAACAAUGAACUCUUCGUGGUGAGACUCAUCAAUUGAAGUGGGGUCAACUGAACGCCUGCAUUCAAAGGGCUCACUUUGAAAAGUGUGGUUUUGGAUGCAGUCCGCCGGAAUGCCCUGACCAAAGAUAACACAGAAAAGGAGAUAGAGCUCCUCAUCACCAGGUGGUCGGUGCUAGCAUAUGACAGGGAUGGUGGCCGAAUCCAGACAAUAGACAGACAAUGAAUUAAAAUGUUUUAAAUUUAAAAAUGUUGAUUUUUGGAAAAUUCGUAUUUGAACUGAUUGUGUGUGUGUGUGUGUGCACCUGGUAAUUAUCACGUUGUGUCCCCACAAAGAUAGGAAUACCAGUAUUUUUGUGACCUUGUGUCCCCAUGAGGAAACAAGCUUAUAAAUCAAACAAAAUGAUGUUUCUUGUAAAUGUGAAGUAGGAGAAGGGUUUCUGUGAUGGUUGGGUUUAGGGAAUGGGGUAGGUAAGGGGAAUAAAAUAUACAGUUUGUAUGGUAUAAAAUGCAUUACGUCUAUGGAAUGUCCCCACAAAACAUGGAAACCUGUUUGUGUGUACGAGAGAGAGAGAAUGUGUGUUCAAGUGAAUAAAAAAUGCAUUAAACGUGAAA